CUUCCGGUUGAUGAGGAAGAUUUACCUCAUUGACUGGAAGGAAUCUCUUCCGGUCGAUGAGGAACUUGUACCUCGUCGACCGUAAGGGAUUGGGGUUCCUUCCGUUUGAGGAGGUAUAGGUUCCUCAUCAACUGGAAGAGACUCCUUCUGGUCGACAAGGUAUAGGUUCCUUAUCGACCGGAAG
rnacentral:miRNA from 1 species